UCCCAGGUGGUUCAGUGGUAAAGAAUCUGCCUGCAAUGCAGAAGACCCAGGUUCAAUCCCUGGGUCAGGAA
rnacentral:tRNA from 1 species